GACGGAGGAUGCAAGUGUUAUCCGGAAUCACUGGGCGUAAAGCGUCUGUAGGUGGUUUAAAAAGUCCACUGUUAAAAAUUGAAGCUUAACUUCAAAGAUGCAAUGGAAACUUUUAAACUUGAGUAUGGUAGGGGUAGAGGGAAUUUCCAGUGGAGCGGUGAAAUGCGUAGAUAUUGGAAAGACCACCAAUGGCGAAGGCACUCUACUGGGCCAUUACUGACACUGAGGAGCGAAAGCAUGGGGAGCGAACAGG
rnacentral:rRNA from 1 species